rnacentral:lncRNA from 1 species
UAAUAAGAGAAUUAUUGUGUUUUAAUAUGAAUUAUUUUAUUUGAUAAUAUAUUGAAAGCUGGAAACAGGUUUCAAGAACAAUGUUUAACUAUUUUCCUGCCUAGUGCAUACAGUCUAGCUGCCACAAUCAAAACAAUGGUGUACAAUUCAAAAGUGUUUUUAACUCCGUAUUCAGGUUCGUUUUAAUGUAAAUACAAAUCGUUAACGACGAAUCUUUAACGUUGCUACCAAGUUUCCAUCUCUUUUUCCGUGUUCCUCUCCCCACCUCAUCCUUCAAGUUCCUUCGGAUUCACUUCAUUUGCGAUAUUACCAGCGGAACUUCAGUCUGCUCGUGGGCUGCUACCGGUACUGGCAGAUACUUUUUUCCCACCGUAUUUCUAUUAUAAAACAAGAAAAAAUUGUAACCAAAAAAUUAAAACUCAAUUUAAUUUAUCUUUAAAUAUUUCGUUAAUUUUCUUAAUAUAUUAUUUCUUUUAUUUUUCAUUUUAUUUCUUAACACACACACAACAAAAAAAAAAAAAAAAAAUUUAUAUAUAUUUGACGGACCCGGAUUUGGGCCGGUUACCCGGACCAAAAUCCGGGUCCGGUGUGGUCCGUAACGGACCAAACCCGGCGGGGUUCGCCGGAAACUCCAUUUCCGGCGAGCUCUGCCCCUUUUUUUCACUUUUUUUCAAGAUUUUAACCUCAAAUUCGAUAUUUUCUUACAUUUUAACUAUAGAAACAUGAAUUUAACCCAUAUUCAUAUCCUAAACAUUCAAACUUUCACAAAUUCAAAGUAGUUAUUUAUAGAAAACAUGUCUAACCUUCAAGAAAAUGACGGUCUCCGGCGAAUCCGAGGUGGCUCUGGUCUUGGUCGAAGUUGGUGAGGUCCGGGCAGUCCGUAGGCGACGCCGACGGUCGGUAGCUGAUUUUUCCCUUUUUUCUUUUCUUUUCUCUCUCUAUUUUCUCUUCUCUUCUUUCCUCUAAAUGAGGGUAUUUUCGACCCUACACAUUUUUUUCUCUUCUCUUCUUUCCUCUAAAUGAGGGUAUUUUCGACCCUCCACAUUUUGUUUACAUUUUUUUUUUUUUUUUUAACAAAUUACUUGGUCAAAGGCUAUUAUGGAAAACAUACCGGGUGGGGCAGCCAUUGCCCACCAUUUCCUCUUGGUGUCAAUGGAGCCGAUCCAAAGCACUCGUUUCACCCGUGCAGCGAAAGAAUCUGUUUGGUUCUUAUUUUGAAAAAGAGUUAAUUUAAUCAAUGGUCACUGAAUUUUGUUAUAUAUUAUUACUUGAUCAUCGAUGUUUAAAAGUUAAUCGAUGCUUACUAAAUUUUGUUAUAGAUUAUUACUUGCUGGCGAAAAUUUAAAAGAUUAUCCAUUUUUCACUCAAAUUUGAACAAAAUUACCAAUCAAUCAUUCAUAUCAUUACUAAAAGUGUUACCUAUAACAAGAUUUAGUAAGUAAUGAAUAACUUUAUUCAAAUGCAAAUGAACAACAAGUAACUUUUUAAAUUUUUAUGAGUAGAUAGCAACCUAUAGCAAAGUUCAGUUAACAACGAAUAACUUUUUAAAAAUUGGUUAACAAGUAAUAACUUGGAUCAAAGUUCAAUGAUCAUUGAUUAAAUUAUCUCUUUGAGAAAAUUGCACUACGGCUUCCUAAUAUUUUGUGAAGAUAGGAAGUUUGGCCUUUGACUUCUAAAAAUAAUAAAUUGAUCUUAUAACCGAUACCAAUAAUCCUUGCGUGUUUAAAGGUUCAUUUGGUAAGAUUUUUGAAAAGUCAAAAGCUGAUUAUGAGAUUAAAAAGUUGAUUUUUAACAUAUUUGUAUAACGUUUUGAAAGAGUUUUGUCUGACUAAAAUAACUUUUAAUGAAAGCUAGUUUAAAAUAGCUUUCUCAUGAGCUACUCUUCUACAAAAAGUAAAACCCAUACCAAACAAGAUCUAACUUUGUGAUGUUACGUUUUGAUGCCUAAUUUAAGGAUAAUUGUAGUAGAGCCCCAAAUCUUUUAAUCGUUGCAGCCUUGACCCCUAACAUUUUGAAACAUUGCAGUUGAAGCUCCCAAUGAAUGGUUUACACCCAAUCUGCCGUCUAUUGACCUAAAAAAAUAGAUUUUGACCUCAUUUUAUUCAAUUUUAACUUUACAUAGUUACAUAAAAUAAAAUAAUUAAAAAGGAAAAAUGAAAACGAAAUUUCAUCUUCUUCCUCCACCCCCUUCAACAACCAGCACCAUUGCCGGUCAACACCACUAGGGAUGACAGUGGGGUGGGUUCAGGGGAGGGGCACACCCUCCCCCCCGGCAACUCCCCACCCAGGCCCCGCCCAGCCUCAAACGGGGCGAGGCGAGACCACGCCCCAUUUGUCGGCCUGUUUAAUUUAUUUAUUUUUUCAUUUUUAAAAUUUUUAAUUAUGUUAUUAUUAGAGAAUAAAAUAUAAAUUCAAAAUUUUAAAACUCAAAGUAAACACUUGAAAUAAACAAUGUUAAAAAUUAAACAAUUUCAAAUAAAAUUAUGUUUUGACUAAAUUUUAUUUCUUUUGGCAUGUUUAAUUUAUUUAUUUUUUCAUUUUUAAAAUUUUUAAUUAUGUUAUUAUUAGAGAAUAAAAUAUAAAUUCAAAAUUUUAAAACUCAAAGUAAACACUUGAAAUAAACAAUGUUAAAAAUUAAACAAUUUCAAAUAAAAUUAUGUUUUGACUAAAUUUUAUUUCUUUUGUAAUUAAUUAAAAUUUUACAUUUGUAUUUUAUUAUCUAAUAAUAAUAUAACUUAAAAAAAAUCAGGGGUGGGGUCGAGGCCGCGCCCCGCGACGGGGCGCCCCAUCCUGCCCCACUCCACGCCGCCAACCCAUCAGGGAGGGACGGGGCGAGGAAAUUUUUUGCCAUCACUAAACACCACAAUUGAAACUACCUUCGAUUGGAUAGAUUUCUGUUUCUUUUCCAAAAUUCCUCACAGACACCGCCACCGAUGGCACCCCAAUCUUGAUCAAUUAAACUGUUAUAAAUACGGAUAGCAAGAUAUGACAAUAAUGAAAUAAAGUAGCAAAAUAAAUAACACAGAGAUUUACGCGAAGACCCAAUUUGAGAAAAACCAUGACAGAGGAGAAGAAAAUUUACUAUAAUCAAUAGGAAUGUGUUUACAAUAUCAAGACUCAAUAUUCUAAAUUGAAUCUAAGCUCUCAAGACUCUAUUCACUCAAUUGAAUCUAAGCUCAGAAGAUGUUGUAGAUUUGUUCUCUUAAGGUUUUUCUCUCAAAACUCAUGAAAACUCUAUUUUUUAAAUACAAUGGACGACGUAUUUUAUUUAUAGAGACAUCCAAAAACCUAGGUGUAGACCAAUAGAAGUCUAAAAACGCAUUAAAACGCCAAAAAAUUGAAACUACCUAGAUAACACUGUCAGCGAGUGACCUUGCUAUCGCUUGAGCGACAAGCUGGCAGGAAGCAAGCGACGGUUGUUCUACUCCAAAAGCUCGAGCGUCCAGCUAGCGAAAUUGCGGCAUAUUUCUUCUCCUGAUCCAUAUUUAUGAUCUCUUCAAGACCAACUUAACUAUUACUCCUAAAACCCCAAGAAUUCGGGUCACGCUACAACAAAUCUCCAUCUUGAACCAAAUUCCUAAACGCAAGGAAUUCUAUAAUACACGUCUCCAAGUAAACACUACUCUACCUCUUCCAAACCUCCAAUAAGCUAAAUCAAUGACAAACACCUAUUAAGUUCAAGCAAUGCUCAAACUUAGCAAUGAAAAGUGGUUUUGUCAUCAUUUCAGUAGGAUUCUCCUUGGUAUCAACCUUGCUCACUACAAUAUCACCAAGAAUAAUUACUUCACGCAAAAAAUGGUACCUCAUAUCAAUGUACUUAGUCCUCUUAUGGAACGUCUGAUCCUUAGUUAGAAAUAUAACACUCUGAUUAUCACAAUACACUGUAAAUAUCUAUAAGUCUUCACCAAUUUCACCAAUUAAUCAUCUUAACCACAUAGCCUCCGUACAAGCUUCAGUAUGGCCAUGUACUUUGCCUUUGUUGUAGAGGAAGCUUCUGUAUUUUACAAAGUAGCUUUCCAGCUGAUAGCACAACCUCCAAAGGUAAAUACGUACCCUAUAAAUGAUUUCCUUUUGUCAAGAUCCCAUGCAUAGUCUGAACCAUAUAUCCUAUGACUCCUUCUGAAUUUCUUCCAAAAUGCAGACAAGUAUUUGUAGAGCCUUUCAAGUAUUUGAGGAUCCACUACACUGCUUUCCAAUGUUCCUUUUCCAUGAUUUUCCAUGUAUCUGCUAACUGCAAGUACUAAAUUAAGUAUUGUACAAACCAUAGUAUACAUUAGUAAACGAACUGCACUGAAAUAAGGAACCCUAGACAUAUACGCAAUGUCUUUAUCUGAUUGAGGACACAAAUCUGCUGAUAAUCUGAAAUGUGCAGCCAAUGGUGUGCUGACAGCAUUUGCAUUCUGCAUAUUGAAUCUCUGAAGUACCUUCUCAAUGUACCCUUUUUGACUCAAGUAUAAUCUACCAGCCUUUCUGUUCCUCAAGAUUUCCAUUCCAAGGAUUUUCUUUACUGCUCCCAAGUCCUUCAUCUUGAACUCUUUACUCGGCUAAGAUUUUACUUUUCUGACCUGUGUUUUAUCUUUGGCUGCUAUAAACAUAUCAUCAAUAUAUAACAGCAAGUAUGUAACUGAUUGAUUACUUUCCUUCCUGGAAUACACAAAUCCUGAAGUACACAAAACUAUUAUAAUUACAACUUUCAAAACCAUUAGUAAUGAACGAAUCGAACUGCUUAUACCACUGCCUCGGUGACUACUUCAAUCCAUACAAUGACUUCUUCAACAAGCACACAUAGUCUUCUUUUUCAAAAACUAUGAACCUUUCUAGCUGUUGCAUGUAGAGGUUUUCCUCAAGUUCUUCAUGCAAGAAUGUUGUUUUGACAUCCAUCUAUUCAAACUCCAAAUCAUUCUUUGCCACAAUCCAAGUAACACUCGAAUUGAACUGUGCUUUACAACCGACGAGAACACAUCUAUGAAGUCAACAUCGGGAAUCUUACUGUAACCCUUUGCUGUUAAUCUGGCCUUAAACCUAAUAUCUUCAAUCCCUGAUGUCCCUUCUUUCUUUUUGAACACUCACUUACAGCGUACAACCUUUUUGUCUUUAGGCAAUUUCACGAAGUCUCAUGUACUGUUUUUGUUCAGAGACUCUAUCUCCUCCUGUAUUGCAAUCAACCAUUUGCCAGAACCACUACAACUGACUGCCUCUGAAUAUGUAGCAAAUUCCUCAAUGGAAUCAACGUCUUCAACCAUGCUCAAAGUAUAAGCAACCAAAUCUGCUUCUCCAUAUCUUUGUGGAGGUUUAAUCUGUUUGCGUGGUCUAUCUUUAGCAAUCGAAUACUAUGAUGCUGUUAGUGGUGUAGGCAAAGUAGGUAAAGUAUUACUGUCAAUCUCCUCUAAACCAUACUACUCUGUAACCUUUGACUGUUCCCAAAAGCCAAUUUCAAACUGCACUUGAGUUGAAUGAUUCUGUUCUUCAAAUUUACCAAAAUCCACAAGAGGUCUUCCACGAAUCAUAGCUGAUUCGUCAAAUACUACAUCCCUACUAAUCACCACUUUAUUCUCUUCUGGCUAUCACAAAUUAUAACCCUUCACUCCUUAUUUAUACCCAAGAAAUAUGCACUUUCUAGACUUAGGCUCCAAUUUCCCAUUAUUUACAUUAGCAUACGCAGGACAAGCAAGAUCUUAAAAUCAAUGUAAUAAGAAGGUUUUAGCGCACCAUACAUCUUUUGGUGUUUUAUUUUCAAUAGCCAUUGGUGAUGAGCGGUUGAUCAGGAAACAUGUUGUAGUAAUAGCUUCAGCCCAGAAAAACUUAGGCAGCCCAAAAUUUGAAAGCAUACGGUGAACCUUUUCCAUCAAAGAUAUAUUCAUCCGUUCAAUCGUGUCAUUCUGUUGAAGAGUUUCAAGCAUUUUCAAGUGUCUCAAGAUGCCUUUAGCCCUGUAAAAGUUAUUGAAUUCAUUUGAACAAAACUCCAACCCAUUAUCAGUGUGUGGACGUUUCACCUGCUUUUCUACCAAUAUUUUCUAUUAUUUGAAGAUCCCAAACACAUCACUAUUCUGCUUCAAGAAGAAUACCCAAAGUUUUUUUAGAGUAAUCAUCAAUUACUGUCAUCAAGUAAUAUGCAUCUCCCCUUGAAGUUACUCUGGUCGGCCCUAGAGAUCUGAAUGGAUAUACUCAAGUGUUCCCUUCGUGUCAUGUCUUUCCUUAGAGAAUCUGACCCUUUUCUGUUUUCCAAAAACACAAUGCUCACAAAAUUCCAUCUUACUGGUCUGCUCAACUUUGCCAUUCAUUUUCACUCAUAUGCCUAAGCCGCAGUGCCAAAAUUAUGUGACUUCAUCCUUAGUUAAAGAAAAAGUAGAAACUAUUGCAUCUCUUGUAACAUUGGAACCUUUCAAAACGGACAGCUGUGUAGAAUUCUUAUGUCUCUUCAUUACAACAAGAGCACCUAAGCUCACCUUCAAAAUUCAACCUUCACCAAUGUACUUAUAGCUGUUUAAGUCAAGAAAACUCAAAGAUAUAAGAUUUCACUUUAGUUCUGGAACAUGUCUGACAUCUGUAAGUGUUCUGACAAUCCCAUCGAACAUAUCAAUCCUUAUAGUACCAACUUCGACGAUUUGCAAAACACAUUGUUAUCCAUAAUCACUGCACCUCUCGAAACUCCUUCAUAUAUAAUCAUCCAGUCCUUAUUUGGACACAUAUAUGCCAAAUUCAGAACCCAUUCCUCACAUGGUUUGGAUCCCAUGUCAAAGAUCACAAUAAGCUCUCAUUCGCUUUGCUCCUUUCCACAAUGUCAGCCCCCGCUGAAUCAACAGAGCGCUUUUCCUUAUUAUUGGCAGUCGUCGCUUUGUUUCAAUUUUUCAAGGCGUAACAGUCAGCUCUAAUGUGCCCCUUAUUCUUACAAUAAUGACAUGUCUUCUCAAUAUGCCAAGACUUCGACCUGUCCAUCAUAUUUUUGCUAACUUUCCUAUCUUGACUUCUCCCACGAACAACUAGGCCCUCAGCCUGACUCUCAGAUCCUUCAGCAAGAUGCCUCAUCUUCUCCUUAGACAGUAAGGCAUCAUAGACCUCCUCCAUCAUGAGAGUAUCAAAAUUAUAUAUAAUUGUAUCUCUAACAGUUAUAUAUAAUGGCGGCAAUGAACACAACAACAUCAAUACCAAGUCCUCCUCAUCUUACUUAACCUCCAAAGUUUUCAAAUCAGCCACAAUUUCUUUGAACAAGGUUAAGUGAUCAUUCAAUGACCCACCUUCAGACAUCCUAUGAGAAUACAAGCGCUAUUUCAAGUAAAAUUUGUUGGUCAAGCUCUUUAUCAUGCAAUGCUGCUCUAACUUCAGCCACAACGCAACGGUACUUCUCUCAUUUAAAACAUCCUGAAGAUUUUGAUUUGAAAUGUGAAGAUAAAUCUAAGCAAAGGCUUUCCGAUCCCUAUGCUGCUUCUCUUAUUACGUCCAGGUAGAAGGUAUCUUAUCAAAGUCAAGCAAGGCUUACUCUAAAUCCAUCUGCGCAAGUGUGCAAAGUCAACAACUGUGGGCGCAAGUGACCAUUAAGCCCUCAAUGUGUUAAUUAGUGUAAGGUGAGAUUUUCAAGGGUAAAGUGGGAAAACAAUGUAAAGGAGGAAAAAAAAAAAAAAAAGGACAGACUACUGUAGCAAAACCGAAUAAAUUAGAUUCAAGUAUGAAAACGGCUGUGACAUAAAUGAACAGUACCCAAAGCCUCUCUUUUAAGAUAAUAAAAAUUUAGAACACCAGAUAUACAUGACAAGUCUUCUGCCAUUUUUGGACCAAAGGGGGCAGUUCGAGCUUGGUCACCCUAUAAUUUUGCAUCUAAAGAAGAUAAUGUCUUAGAAAAUCGAUUCAAAAAUUGUCUAUUAAUAAGAGAAUUAUUGUGUUUUAAUAUGAAUUAUUUUAUUUGAUAAUAUAUUGAAAGCUGGAAACAGGUUUCAAGAACAAUGUUUAACUAUUUUCCUGCCUAGUGCAUACAGUCUAGCUGCCACAAUCAAAACAAUGGUGUACAAUUCAAAAGUGUUUUUAACUCCGUAUUCAGGUUCGUUUUAAUGUAAAUACAAAUCGUUAACGACGAAUCUUUAACGUUGCUACCAAGUUUCCAUCUCUUUUUCCGUGUUCCUCUCCCCACCUCAUCCUUCAAGUUCCUUCGGAUUCACUUCAUUUGCGAUAUUACCAGCGGAACUU